UACGAAGGGUGCUAGCGUUGUUCGGAAUUACUGGGCGUAAAGGGUUCGUAGGCGGUUAUCUAAGUUAGGCGUGAAAGCCCAGGGCUCAACCUUGGAACUGCGCUUAAGACUGGUUAACUAGAGUUUGGGAGAGGUAAGUGGAAUUCCGAGUGUAGAGGUGAAAUUCGUAGAUAUUCGGAGGAACAUCAGUGGCGAAGGCGACUUACUGGACCAAUACUGACGCUGAGGAACGAAAGUGUGGGGAGCAAACAGG
rnacentral:rRNA from 1 species